UUGUUGCAACAGCAAAAUGCUUUAUGUAGAGGGUCCAACUGGAGGAUACCAAGUGGUGUCAACCUAUGGAACCUGGAUAUUAAGCUAACUUAUCAUUAUACAAUGAGAAAACCAUCAGACUGUCAGAAAGGUGUAAAAGCAAGGUGCUAGAUGGCAAAGAUUCAAGAUUCUCUUGUAUUUCUAUCUGGCCAUCAUAUGGUCCAAUCAGAUCAAUUCGGACAUGACAGGUUAUGUUGUUGUCAGAUGCUCACCUGUGCAGCUAAGUUGAUGGUGAUGAUUUAAUUAAAGUGAGGCUAUCUUCAAACCAAGGAGUGCAGGGAGACACAUGAAUUUUACAGGAGAUGGCUCAAUUCCGAUAUGAUCUUAAAAAAAUUCGUUAUUCCAAAUACGACCUUAUCUGGCCAUAAUUGCAGGUCAUUAGUGUCUUCUUUCGAAAUUUCUAUGUCUACUACGCAAACAAUGAUAUUUAAAAUGUUGGAUUAUUCUGGCAAAUCGACGCUCAAACUUGGUAUCAUGAUGCAAACAGGA